rnacentral:rRNA from 1 species
CCCCUAGUAACGGCGAGUGAAGCGGGAACAGCCCAGCGCCGAACCGUUCUGUUUUUUGAGCAGUGACGGAGUGUGGUGUUCGGAAUUGGAUCUGGGAUGCAGAUCGUCGGUCCAAGUUCACUGGAAAGCGACUCCGGAGAGGGUGAAAGUCCCGUUUGGCCGAUGUCUGUAGACUAUUUUCCGGUUCUUCGAGUCGGGUUGUUUGGGAAUGCAGCCCAAAGCUGGUGGUAAACUCCAUCUAAGGCUAAAUAUUCGGACGAGACCGAUAGCGAACAAGUACCGUGAGGGAAAGUUGAAAAGCACUCUGAAGAGAGAGUUAAAUAGUACGUGAAACCGUCGAGAGGUAAACGGUGAAGUCGUUAAAUGACAUGGCGUCACAGAUUCAGGUAGCGAGGCGGCGGGGUUCUGGGUGGGUCGACCUUCGGGAGGCUACUCGGUCCCUAAUUCCUCGACAUCGCACUUUUGUGGCGCCUGUGUUGCGACCGAUUGUUCGGGGGCGAUAGAUGCGGCGUUGUGGGGCAAGUCGACUUCGGUCUUCGGGUCCUUUCGUCGACACGGCGGUCCCUGGGCGAUCGUGGUAGUGUGGAGCGUUCUCUCUUUUGGGAGCAGCUCCCUUGCAGGAUGCGGUUUGAAAGAGGCUGGACUGCUUGCAGUGCUGUUUCUCUCGGCUGUUCUUGUAGGGGUCAGUUGCCGUAGCGCUUCCUGUCCGCAACUACGCACGGCCUUCACCGACCCGUCUUGAAACACGGACCAAGGAGUCUAACAUGUGUGCGAGUCUCAAGGGAGUGUUAAACCUUCAGGCGCAAUGAAAGUGAAGGACGAUUCCGUCGUCUCAGGCGAGAGCCCUCACAAGGGGUGCAUCGCCGUCCCGUCCAUUCGACCACGUUCGGCGGGCGGAGAAUGAGCAUACACGUUGGGACCCGAAAGAUGGUGAACUAUGCCUGAACAGGAUGAAGCCAGGGGAAACCCUGGUGGAGGUCCGCAGCGAUUCUGACGUGCAAAUCGAUCGUCUGAUUUGGGUAUAGGGGCGA